GACGAACGCUGGCGGCGUGCCUAAUACAUGCAAGUAGAACGCUGAAGGAGGAGCUUGCUUCUCCGGAUGAGUUGCGAACGGGUGAGUAACGCGUAGGUAACCUGCCUGGUAGCGGGGGAUAACUAUUGGAAACGAUAGCUAAUACCGCAUAAGAGUAGAUGUCGCAUGACAUUUGCUUAAAAGGUGCAACUGCACCACUACCAGAUGGACCUGCGUUGUAUUAGCUAGUUGGUGAGGUAACGGCUCACCAAGGCAACGAUACAUAGCCGACCUGAGAGGGGGAUCGGCCACACUGGGACUGAGACACGGCCCAGACUCCUACGGGAGGCAGCAGUAGGGAAUCUUCGGCAAUGGACGGAAGUCUGACCGAGCAACGCCGCGUGAGUGAAGAAGGUUUUCGGAUCGUAAAGCUCUGCUGUAAGAGAAGAACGAGUGUGAGAGUGGAAAGUUCACACUGUGACGGUAUCUUACCAGAAAGGGACGGCUAACUACGUG
rnacentral:rRNA from 1 species